GAUGAACGCUGGCGGCGUGCCUAAUACAUGCAAGUCGAGCGAACGGACGAGAAGCUUGCUUCUCUGAUGUUAGCGGCGGACGGGUGAGUAACACGUGGAUAACCUACCUAUAAGACUGGGAUAACUUCGGGAAACCGGAGCUAAUACCGGAUAAUAUUUUGAACCGCAUGGUUCAAAAGUGAAAGACGGUCUUGCUGUCACUUAUAGAUGGAUCCGCGCUGCAUUAGCUAGUUGGUAAGGUAACGGCUUACCAAGGCAACGAUGCAUAGCCGACCUGAGAGGGUGAUCGGCCACACUGGAACUGAGACACGGUCCAGACUCCUACGGGAGGCAGCAGUAGGGAAUCUUCCGCAAUGGGCGAAAGCCUGACGGAGCAACGCCGCGUGAGUGAUGAAGGUCUUCGGAUCGUAAAACGCUGUUAUUAGGGAAGAACAUAUGUGUAAGUAACUGUGCACAUCUUGACGGUACCUAAUCAGAAAGCCACGGCUAACUACGG
rnacentral:rRNA from 1 species